UGAGGAACAUGACCUUCGGCGGGGGAUAGCCGGCCCAACGGCCGGGUAAUACCGCGUACGACCACUCUGGGACAUCCCUAGGUGGUGAAAGCAGCAAUGCGCCGAUGGAGUGCCUCGCGGCCUAUCAGCUAGUUGGGUGAGGUAACGGCUCACCAAGGCGACGACGGGUAGCUGGUCUGAGAGGAUGGCCAGCCACAUUGGGACUGAGACACGGCCCAGACUCCGUAGGGAGG
rnacentral:rRNA from 1 species